AUUGAACGCUGGCGGCAGGCCUAACACAUGCAAGUCGAGCGGAUGAAGGGAGCUUGCUCCUGGAUUCAGCGGCGGACGGGUGAGUAAUGCCUAGGAAUCUGCCUGGUAGUGGGGGAUAACGUCCGGAAACGGGCGCUAAUACCGCAUACGUCCUGAGGGAGAAAGUGGGGGAUCUUCGGACCUCACGCUAUCAGAUGAGCCUAGGUCGGAUUAGCUAGUUGGUGGGGUAAAGGCCUACCAAGGCGACGAUCCGUAACUGGUCUGAGAGGAUGAUCAGUCACACUGGAACUGAGGCACGGUCCAGACUCCUACGGGAGGCAGCAGUGGGGAAUAUUGGACAAUGGGCGAAAGCCUGAUCCAGCCAUGCCGCGUGUGUGAAGAAGGUCUUCGGAUUGUAAAGCACUUCAAGUUGGGAGGAAGGGCAGUAAGUUAAUACCUUGCUGUUUUGACGUUACCAACAGAAUAAGCACCGGCUAACUUCGUG
rnacentral:rRNA from 1 species